rnacentral:rRNA from 1 species
UCCCYACSGUCCAAGUYGCAGCCAACUUUAUUGGGUCUAAAACAUCCGUAGCUUGCUUUGAAAGUYUUUUGUGAAAUUCUAUCUCUUAAGGAUAGAGAUUGCAAUAGAUACUACAUAGCUAGAGACCGGUGGACGUAAGGAGUACAUUUGAGGUAGUGGUAAAAUACGUUAAUCUUAAAUGGACUAMCAACAGCGAAGGCRCCUUACGAUGACGGUUCUGACAGUGAGGGAUGAAGGCUAGGGGCGCAAAAUGGAUUAGAUACCCAUGUAGUCCUAGCAGUAAACACUGUGCACUAAACAUUAGUACCUCCUCGAGAGGUAUUUGUGCUGUAGCGAAGGCGAAGAGUGCACURCCUGGGAAGUAUMGCCSCAARGYCRAAMYUUAA